UACGUAGGGCGCAAGCGUUGUCCGGAAUCAUUGGGCGUAAAGAGCUCGUAGGUGGUCUGUUACGUCUGCUGUGAAAUCCUAGGGCUUAACCCUGGGCCUGCAGUGGAUACGGGCAGACUAGAGGUAGGUAGGGGAGAAUGGAAUUCCCGGUGUAGCAGUGAAAUGCGCAGAUAUCGGGAGGAACACCGGUGGCGAAGGCGGUUCUCUGGGCCUUACCUGACACUGAGGAGCGAAAGCGUGGGGAGCGAACAGG
rnacentral:rRNA from 1 species